UACGAAGGGGGCUAGCGUUGCUCGGAAUCACUGGGCGUAAAGGGUGCGUAGGCGGGUCUUUAAGUCAGGGGUGAAAUCCUGGAGCUCAACUCCAGAACUGCCUUUGAUACUGAAGAUCUUGAGUUCGGGAGAGGUGAGUGGAACUGCGAGUGUAGAGGUGAAAUUCGUAGAUAUUCGCAAGAACACCAGUGGCGAAGGCGGCUCACUGGCCCGAUACUGACGCUGAGACACGAAAGCCAGGGGAGCGAACGGG
rnacentral:rRNA from 1 species